GUCAAAGAUCAUUUUAAAAGUCAACACAACAUAAAACAGCAGUAUCGAGUGUCAACGUAAGCAUGAACAAUAAAACUAAUUAAAAGAGAAGUAGUUGUUGAAUAAACCGUCAUGCAAAUCACAAAUCAGGCCUAUAAAGAAGGAUGUUGGAUUGUUUUUCUUUGCUCUAUUUGGUACACGAGUAGUUCAGGACAAAAUGUUAUCAACAAACGCCUUCUGGGCUACUUUCCGUAUCCUAUAACGAUCUCAAUGGUACAUAUGUUGUGCGUAGCACUUUUUCUAGGACCGGUGUUACGGCUUCGGAAAGUAGAGAAGCUGAAAAUUCACGAUAAACAUCGUUUUUUAAUGCUUGUUUUCCCAUUGGCAUUUGGAAAAUUUUUUGCAUCUAUAUCUUCUCAUUUAAGUAUUGCAAAUGUGUCAGUAUCGUUUGCUCAUACAGUGAAAGCUAUGAUGCCAAUAUUCACAGUCAUCUUAUCAAGAAUAAUAGUAAAUGAAAAAGCAAGUAAAAGGGUUUAUUUGGCUCUAGCAACAAUAAUAUUUGGUGUUUUGAUAGCUACUGUAACUGAGUUGACUUUCAAUGUUAUAGGAGGCACCUUCGCACUCAUAGCAACAAUAACUUUUUCUCUUCAAAAUGUUUAUACAAAAAAGGCGAUUGGAGAUUUGUACAUUCAUCAUUUGAGAUUAUUACUGAUCCUGGGUCAGCUAGCUUCCCUUAUGCUGCUUCCUAUAUGGAUGUACGUUGACCUAACUAGAAUAUACAACAAUAAAGUUUUAAUUGAAACAUUAAAUUGGCCAAAAACCCUGUUGUUGCUGUUUCUUAGCGGAUUACUCAAUUUCACCCAGAAUAUAUUUGCAUUUAGUGUGAUUUCUCUGAUUAGUCCUUUAAGUUAUUCAAUUGCAAAUGCAACAAAACGAAUUGUCAUUAUCACAAGUUCAUUGAUAUUUCUGCGGAACCCUGUCACGCCGAUGAACGUAUUUGGAAUGGGCACUGCAAUCAUUGGAGUACUAGCUUAUAACAAAGCAAAGUAUGAUGACCGUUGCAAUAAACAGAUGUUACCUGUGUACACAAGUGAUGCAGACUUGGUGCAUAUGAAAGCUUAUAGGACUAGAGAGGCAAUCUUUUCAAAUGGUCACUCAAAUUCUAAUUAUGUUUAAAAUUGAAAUUCUGCUAUGUAUGUACGCCCUAUCUAGACCAUCAAUUUAUUUUUUUGACAAAAUCAUGUGACAUGCCUAAAUAUGGUCAUUAUGACAUCCUGGACAUAUAUGGGUACAUCAUGACUAUAUAUGGGCACAUCAUGACUAUAUAUGGGCACAUCAUGACUAUAUAUGGGCACAUCAUGACUAUAUAUGGACAUACAAUAGUUUCAUGUCAAAGAAAAUUUGACAGUGUGGACAAAGCGUUGAGUGACUGGUUAUAUUUAAUAUUGGUCAUUAUGUAACUAGCAUUAUAGUAAAAAGUGUUUUUAUGACAUAAGACUCAGGCUCAAUAAUUAAACAUUUUAUUAAAUAUUUAUAAACUUAAUUUUAUUGAUUAUGUGCUAUUUAUAUAAAAUAUUGCAUCAUACUGCAUUCUGGCUCUCAUCCUUUUUCUGGGUUCAUUUUAAACUGGCUAAUAAAUUAAAUCACUGAAAAGAAUUAUCAUAAUGAAAGAAAUUGAUACUAGUGUGUGAAUACUAAUUCUGUGUAUGUUUACUAAGCAACAUUUUUCUGUUCAUAUAUAACCAUAUACACUUUAAGAAGCAACAAAACGAGAAACAGCUAAAGCAAAUAAAUUACUGAAACCAAAGAUAAUAAAUAGCAAAAGAUAGAGCAGUUCGCGAUAUAGUGGAACACCCCAUGAGGGCGUCCAUGAGAGCAAUUUUCCUCCAUUCGAGCGGCGGCGCUAUAACUUUGAUGGGUUUGAUUGGUUGAUAACUCUCUAGUUCGUUUGUUUUCAUUAGCUUCUCCACUCCAUGAAAUAAUUUCCUCCAUUCUAGAGAUGGCGCACCUUCAGUAUUCUUCUGCUAUUUAUGUUCUUUGCUGAAUGCUGAAACUCAAGAGUCAGCAGCCCUAAGCACAUUGGUAUAUUAUUCAAUGCAGACUUGAAAUGGCAUUUUAUGGAUUAUAGUCAAGUAAUAAUGGUUUAAGAUGUCUAUAUGUAGCAAAGAAAUGACAAUUGUGUGUCUGCAGCCCUCUCUGUUGGUGAUAUUCACCUGUGAGAAUGUGGAGGUCAGAAAGUUGAAACAAUAAUUCUAGUUGCUAGGUGUCAGAUUUUCACAAUUUUUGUAUGUUAUGUCUGCAAUCUAAUCUAAAUGUAGAAUUAAAUAUAAUUUUUGCAAUUUUAUUUUCCAAACAGUUAACUUUAAUAUUGCAAUUAAUAGUAACAUUUUUGAAACCUUCAUUUGAAAUAUUAUGAAGUUAGACAGCAAGGGAAUUGUUUCAUAGAAAUAUUUUUUAGGUAUAUUAGACUCAUCAAAUAUUUUGAAUAAAUUUGUGCAUGAUUAUUUUGAAGCCAUUUUUGCUAAUAAGUGAUGUUUUGCUAAGCAUUAGUACAAAUUGUGUCUGCAAUAUGUUAAUUGGUAAUGUAAAUAUAAAGUGAAUGUUUAUAUUUUAUAUAAUGUUUAUUUUAUAAUUAUUAUAAACACAUUUUUGUGAUUUAGAUUUAAAUGUCAUUUUU
rnacentral:misc_RNA from 1 species